rnacentral:rRNA from 1 species
GACGAACGCUGGCGGCGUGCCUAAUACAUGCAAGUAGGACGCAGUUGCGAACGGGUGAGUAACGCGUAGGUAACUACCUAUUAGCGGUGGAUAACUAUUGGAAACGAUCGCUACUACCGCAUACUAUUAGAUGGAGCUGCGUUGUUUUAGCUAGUAGGUAGGGUAAUGGCCUCCCUAGGCUAAGAUACAUAGCAGACCUAAGGAUGGGAUCGACUACGCUGGGACUGGGGCACGGCCCAGACUCCUACCGGAGGAAGCCAGAGGGAAUCUUCGGCAAUGGGGGGAACGCUGACCGAGCAACGCCGCGGAAGUGAAGAAGGUUUACGGAUCGUAAAGCUCUGGUGAUAAGGAAGCGGUACUUAACCAGAAAGCGACAGCUAACUACGUGCCAGCAGCCGCGGUAAUAC